CCCUUGAAAUACCACCCUUUAAUGGCUGGUGUUCUAACGUAGACCCGUGAUCCGGGUUGCGGACAGUGUCUGGUGGGUAGUUUGACUGGGGCGGUCUCCUCCCAAAGAGUAACGGAGGAGCACGAAGGUUGGCUAAUCCUGGUCGGACAUCAGGAGGUUAGUGCAAUGGCAUAAGCCAGCUUGACUGCGAGCGUGACGGCGCGAGCAGGUGCGAAAGCAGGUCAUAGUGAUCCGGUGGUUCUGAAUGGAAGGGCCAUCGCUCAACGGAUAAAAGGUACUCCGGGGAUAACAGGCUGAUACCGCCCAAGAGUUCAUAUCGACGGCGGUGUUUGGCACCUCGAUGUCGGCUCAUCACAUCCUGGGGCUGAAGUAGGUCCCAAGGGUAUGGCUGUUCGCCAUUUAAAGUGGUACGCGAGCUGGGUUUAGAACGUCGUGAGACAGUUCGGUCCCUAUCUGCCGUGGGCGCUGGAGAAUUGAGGGGGGCUGCUCCUAGUACGAGAGGACCGGAGUGGACGCAUCACUGGUGUUCGGGUUGUCAUGCCAAUGGCACUGCCCGGUAGCUAAAUGCGGAAGAGAUAAGUGCUGAAAGCAUCUAAGCACGAAACUUGCCCCGAGAUGAGUUCUCCCUGAGACUUUAAGUCUCCUGAAGGAACGUUGAAGACGACGACGUUGAUAGGUCGGGUGUGUAAGCGCAGCGAUGCGUUGAGCUAACCGAUA
rnacentral:rRNA from 1 species